AUGGCUGCGUUCGAUGAGUCGCCGAUGGUGCGGCCGACGGUGCAGGAGCUGGCGGCGGCCGGCGUCGAGGAACCGCCGCGACAGUACGUGCUGCCGGAGCAAGACCGUCACGGCGACCUGCUGGCCGCCGACGAGUUUCCGGAGCCCAUCCCCCUCGUCGAUCUUAGCCGGCUCACGGACGCCGACGAAGCCGAGAGGCUCCGGGCGGCUCUGCAGACCUGGGGCUUCUUCCUGGCCACCAACCAUGGGAUCGAGGAGUCUCUAAUGGACGCCAUGAUGAGCGUGUCGAGGGAGUUCUUCCGGCAGCCGGCAGAGGAGAAGCAGAAGUGCAGCAAUCUGGCGGACGGCAACGGCAAGGACUACCAGGUGGAAGGGUAUGGAAGUGACAAGGUGGUGUCCGAGGAUCAGGUCCUCAACUGGAGUGACCGGUUGCAAUUGGAAGUGGAUCCAGAAGAUGAGAGGAAUCUCGCUAAGUGGCGCCGUCACCCGGAAUCUUUCAGAGUUUUUCUACAGGGAUGUGCACAAGAGUACGCAUCAAGAACCAAGAAAAUAAGAGACCUCGUCUUGCGAUCGAUAGCCAAGCUCUUGGAGAUUGAGGAGGACUACUUUGUCAACCAGAUAUCAAACAAAGCUUCCGGGUUUGCUAGAUUCAACUACUACCCUCCAUGCCCGAGGCCUGACCUAGUUUUGGGCCUCAUGCCUCACUCCGACAGUGGUCUCCUUACCAUCCUUUUCAACAAUGACAACGUCGGUGGCUUGCAAGUUCAAAGAGAUGGGAGAUGGUACAAUAUAAUGAACAUUGGAAUCUUUACAAGCCCAGUUCACAGAGUGGUGACAAACAUCGAGAAGGAUAGGCUUCUUGGCUGUGUUUUACGUCGUGGAUGCGGAAACUAUGCUAGAGCCAGUGCCCGGUUUGCUGGAUGA
rnacentral:rRNA from 1 species